rnacentral:rRNA from 1 species
UACAGAGGUCCCGAGCGUUGUUCGGAUUCACUGGGCGUAAAGGGUGCGUAGGUGGCGAGGUAAGUCGGAUGUGAAAGCUCGGAGCUCAACUCCGAAAUGGCAUUGGAAACUACCUUGCUCGAGGGUUGGAGGGGGGACUGGAAUACUUGGUGUAGCAGUGAAAUGCGUAGAGAUGUGGAGGAACACCGAUGGCGAAGGCAGCCUCCUGGGCCAACACUGACGCUCAUGCACGAAAGCGUGGGGAGCAAACAGG